GGCUUGUUGAUUAUAAUUUCAAGUUUGACCUGCCCAAUGAGGAGUUAAAUGGCCGCGGUAUAUUGACCGUGCAAAGGUAGCAUAAUCACUAGUUUUUUAAUUGAAAGCUUGUAUGAAUGGUUUGAUGAAAAAGAGACUGUUUCUGUAGGAAUUUAUUAGAAUUUUAUUUUUAAGUAAAAAAGCUUAAAUGUUUAUAGAAGACGAGAAGACCCUAUAGAGUUUUAUAUUUUAAUAUAAGAUGAUUUUUAUAAAUAAUUUUUUAUAUAAAAAAUAUUUUGUUGGGGUGAUAAAAAAAUUAAACUAACUUUUUUUUGUAUUGAGACAUUAAUUUAUGAAUUUUUGAUCCUUUGGUAGAGAUUAUAAGAUAAAAUUACCUUAGGGAUAACAGCGUAAUCUUUUUUAGAGUUCUUAUCGAAAGAAAGGGUUGCGACCUCGAUGUUGGAUUAAAAUUAAUUUUUGGUGUAGGAGCUAAUUUAUUAGGUCUGUUCGACCUUUAAAAUUUUACAUGAUCUGAGUUUAAACCGGUGUGAG
rnacentral:rRNA from 1 species